ACGCAGCUGAGACCAGCAGGAAGUCGGUCAGCGAGUGGGUUCGAUCAGCUCAGGCGAUUCUUCAGACACCUCAGAAAAGACCCCAGAGGACUCGAGUAAAAAGAGGAGGAGGUUUGAAAGGGGACGUCUUGCUGAAAGGCUGAACCGACUCCACAGCAGGCAAAGAUCAGCCAUCAGCUUCUGGAGACAUCAGUGCAAUUCAACCACAUCAGAUGGUCGGUGAGUUGAACAGAUGAGGAGUUCCUAAGUCUCUGCUGGACGCAGUGGAGGAUUGUGGGUCGUCGGGCCCU